GCACGCAAGGAAGAUAACGAAAGCAGCCGUCUCCCGUUUCGCACGCCGUCCACCCAGACCCAGCGCUCCCCUUCCCUCCCGUGGCCCUCCGACGUCGGUUCGUCUCCGACCACGAUUGGAAAAAGUCAGAACCGCCACCACCCGCACCGACUCCUUCCCGGAAACCCAUCGCCGCCACCAGCUCCACGCCCCUUAUAAAUACCACACGAUCUCCCCAUGGUUUCCUCGCAUCGGAGGAUUCGAUUGACUUCUCUUCUCUUCUCUUCUCUUCCACCUCCCGUCGUCGGGUAAAUCGAAGAACUACUUUACUGCUGCUCUGUUUUUCUCUUGUGGUAUGUCGAGGUGUAUUCAAGUGCUGGUUACUGUGAUGUAAUCUAUCAAUCCUUCUGAUCAUUAGUCUGUUUGUUUGAUUUUCUACAUGGAUAUUCCGGUUGGGCUUCAGCUGGUUUCAUACUCUGUCCGGUGUUGGAUUAGUCUUGGCUUGGUAAAUAGUAUUGCUAUUGUAAUCUGUA